AAUGAACGCUGGCGGCGUGCCUAAUACAUGCAAGUCGAGCGAAUGGAUUAAGAGCUUGCUCUUAUGAAGUUAGCGGCAGACGGGUGAGUAACACGUGGGUAACCUGCCCAUAAGACUGGGAUAACUCCGGGAAACCGGGGCUAAUACCGGAUAACAUUUUGAACCGCAUGGUUCGAAAUUGAAAGGCGGCUUCGGCUGUCACUUAUGGAUGGACCCGCGUCGCAUUAGCUAGUUGGUGAGGUAACGGCUCACCAAGGCAACGAUGCGUAGCCGAUCUGAGAGGGUGAUCGGCCACACUGGGACUGAGACACGGCCCAGACUCCUACGGGAGGCAGCAGUAGGGAAUCUUCCGCAAUGGACGAAAGUCUGACGGAGCAACGCCGCGUGAGUGACGAAGGCUUUCGGGUCGUAAAACUCUGUUGUUAGGGAAGAACAAGUGCUAGUUGAAUAAGCUGGCACCUUGACGGUACCUAACCAGAAAGCCACGGCUAACUACGUGCCAGCCGCCGCGGUAA
rnacentral:rRNA from 1 species